AUGCCUUCUGUUCAUCUCAAAUAAGUUGCUUGGCGCUCUAAUCUGCUCGCAAAUGCAUGCCUAAUGCAGCCAAAUCUCCACAGAAAACGAGGAGAAAUCGAUAGAGCGGUGGUGCUUGCUUCUCUUUCCUCUCGCUUAACCAAAAAAGCUUGCAUUUUCGUGCUAAAACGUGUCAGUUAUGCAUAUUUUAUACUUACCGUAUAUUCUCUAUUAGUGCUACAUCUCCAGUAGUACUGCAGUCUCUAAUAGUGCUGCAUUCAAAAAGGGUCCGAAAAAUAGUGCUGCAGUCUCUAUUAGUGCUGCACCACAUUUUCUAUUGAAAGAGUCACUUGAUAGUUUCGAUAUUUUUGGGUAUUUUUUUGUAUAUUUUUGAUGAAUUUUUGAUAAUUUACGAGAGUAAUUGAAUUAUGGGGUCUUUUUGUUACAAAAGUUCGCAAUUUUUAUGAAUUUCUGCUAAAAAAAGAGCUUUUGUGUCUAAAAACUAGUGAUCUAAAAUUGAAAAUAGUUGUUCGAAAAUUAAUGCUGCAGUCUCCAGUAGUACUGCAGUCUCUAAUAGUGCUACAUUAAAAAAAGGGCCUGGAAAUUAGUGUUGCAUGCAGCACUAAUAGAGAAUAGACGGUAAUCGUUCCUCCCCCGCUCCCCCGAACAGUCAAAUAUUCUAUCGAAACAUUUCAGUUGCGUUCGCUCUCCACGCACUUAUCCGCUCUUCUCAUCGUCUGAGUCUCUCCACUCUUCAUUCAACCCGUCAGAGUGUUUCAUUCGGCACGUUAACUCGAAACGACAUGCACAACGUGGUUUUUGUUCUCGGGCCUCCUGGAUCUGGAAAAGGAACUAUUUGCGCUAAAAUUCAAGAGAAUUUGAACUACGUCCACUUAUCAGCCGGAGAUUUGCUUCGAGCGGAACGUCAAAGAGAAGGAAGCGAGUUCGGAGCUCUCAUCGAAAGUCAUAUCAAAAAUGGGUCAAUCGUUCCUGUUGAGAUCACCUGUUCCCUCCUCGAGAAUGCCAUGAAAGCUUGUGGAGAUGCUAAAGGCUUCCUGGUUGACGGAUUCCCGAGAAACGAGGAUAACCUUCAAGGAUGGAACAAGCAGAUGGAUGGUAAAGCACUCGUCCAGUUCGUGCUUUUCCUUUCGUGUCCUGUUUCGAUUUGCAUUGAAAGAUGUCUGAAUCGUGGCCAAGGGAGAACCGAUGACAAUGAGGAGUCUUUGAAGAAGCGUGUCGAGACCUACAAUCAACAAACCUUCCCAAUCAUCGAGCACUUUGAAAAAUCCGGACUCGUCAGAGAAGUGAAGAGCGAACGUCCGGUGGAUGUUGUGUAUGCGGAUGUGGAGAAGGUGUUCGACGCUGCCAACAAAAAAUAA